rnacentral:rRNA from 1 species
CCUACGGGAGGCAGCAGUGAGGAAUAUUGGUCAAUGGGCGGGAGCCUGAACCAGCCAAGUCGCGUGAGGGAAGACGGUCCUAUGGAUUGUAAACCUCUUUAGGCGGGGAGCAAUGCCGGGCACGCGUGCCCGGAGGGAGAGUACCCGCAGAAUAAGCAUCGGCUAACUCCGUGCCAGCAGCCGCGGUAAUACGGAGGAUGCGAGCGUUAUCCGGAUUUAUUGGGUUUAAAGGGAGCGUAGAUGGGUUGUUAAGUCAGUUGUGAAAGUUUGCGGCUCAACCGUAAAAUUGCAAUUGAUACUGGCAGUCUUGAGUACAGUUGAGGUAGGCGGAAUUCGUGGUGUAGCGGUGAAAUGCUUAGAUAUCACGAAGAACUCCGAUUGCGAAGGCAGCUUACUAAACUGCCACUGACAUUGAUGCUCGAAAGUGUGGGUAUCAAACAGGAUUAGAUACCCCAGUAGUC